rnacentral:rRNA from 1 species
UUCAUGACUGGGGUGAAGUCGUAACAAGGUAGCCGUAGGGGAACCUGCGGCUGGAUCACCUCCUUA